rnacentral:misc_RNA from 1 species
GAUGAAGAACGUAGCGAAAUGCGAUAAGUAAUGUGAAUUGCAGAAUUCAGUGAAUCAUCGAAUCUUUGAACGCACAUUGCGCCCAUUAGCAUUCUAGUGGGCAUGCCUGUUCGAGCGUCAUUUCAACCCUUAAGCCCUGUUGCUUAGCGUUGGGAGCCUACAGUACUGUAGCUCCCCAAAGUUAGUGGCGGAGUCGGUUUCACACUCUAGACGUAGUAAUUUUUUCUCGUCUGUAGUUGAGCCGGUCCCCUGCCGUAAAACACCCAAUUUAUCAAGGUUGACCUCGGAUCAGGUAGGAAUACCCGCUGAACUUAAGCAUAUCAUAAGCGGAGGA